rnacentral:tmRNA from 1 species
GGGAGCGACUUGGCUUCGACAGGAGUAAGUCUGCUUAGAUGGCAUGUCGCUUUGGACAAAGCGUAAAAAGUCCAAAUUAAAAUUAAACGCAAAUAACGUUAAAUUCGCUCCUGCUUACGCUAAAGCUGCGUAAGUUCAGUUGAGCCUGAAAUUUAAGUCAUACUAUCUAGCUUAAUUUUCGGUCAUUUUUGAUAGUGUAGCCUUGCGUUUGACAAGCGUUGAGGUGAAAUAAAGUCUUAGCCUUGCUUUUGAGUUUUGGAAGAUGAGCGAAGUAGGGUGAAGUAGUCAUCUUUGCUAAGCAUGUAGAGGUCUUUGUGGGAUUAUUUUUGGACAGGGGUUCGAUUCCCCUCGCUUCCACCA